rnacentral:rRNA from 1 species
AGAAGGAAGCUUGCUUCUUUCAAAUCUAGUGGCAAACGGGUGAGUAACACGUAAACAACCUGCCUUCAGGAUGGGGACAACAGACGGAAACGACUGCUAAUACCGAAUACGUUCCUUAGGUCGCAUGAUCUUAGGAAGAAAGGGUGGCCUCUACCUGUAAGCUAUCGCCUGAAGAGGGGUUUGCGUCUGAUUAGGUAGUUGGUGAGGUAACGGCCCACCAAGCCGACGAUCGGUAGCCGACCUGAGAGGGUGAUCGGCCACAUUGGGACUGAGACACGGCCCAAACUCC